UAGGUUUUGAUUUUUUCUUUGUAAUAGUUGGAGAUUUUUCUCACGUUUUCUUCUUCCUGUUCACAUUGUCUCCAUAUUUUCAUUUGGGAGCUCUAACUGUUCUUAUAUUGUUUUGUUUUUCUGGCCCCUUUCCCUGUGUAACAUGGAAAGUUCUUCUCAACACCAAGAUCACAGCUGCCAUCAUUCUAAUAGGAACCUGAUAAAAUCUUGAUAAAGAUGGCAGUGGUAUAUUGGAUCAAAGUGUCGUCUGGGCGAACUAAUAUAUGAGGAGAGGCAUAUAUCCAACUAGCACUGAGCACCAAACCUGCAGUAUAAGGGGUUUGCAACUGUUUUCUGUGUCAACCUUCUGCAAAUACCUGAUCCUAAAAACGCCAUGGUGAGGGCCAUCAGAUAGCCCAUAUGGUAAACCGGAGGGAAACCGAUGCAAGGGUUUGGAUGGCUUACGAUAACAACUUUCACCAUUUUUGUUGAAUAAUAAUAUGUAUGACUUAUUCGUAUUUUUUAUGAGGUAUGUUGGCUCUUAAAUUUUUGUUUAUUAUGCCACUUUUGGGAGACAUUCGAAACACACCAUAGAUCACUCUUGGAAAAAUGAUUGUUGGUUAAUAUGACUUAGUCCAUACUGUCAAUUUUGUCAUAGACUUUUUCCUUAAAUAGUUCAGGAUUAGCGAUUGGAACAAGAAACUAUUUAGAUCAUACCAUUGAUGAUAGGUGAGAAAAGUUUGUUUGUUUUGAGUACAUGUUCCUAAUGAUAUAUGUGUUAUCUUUAUUUAAUCCUUUGACACAGACGAACACUUUAUAGCAAAAGUAUUUACAUGAAGUUAGUAGAGAUACCCUGGGAAUGAUGUGCAAGGUUUCCCUGUGUAAAAGGGUUUAGUGACCCCUGAUCGAUUUCAUCUCUUGCUAUACAGACAAGGGGAAGACAUGCUUACUUAUUAGCUUUCUGAAGACAUAUUUAUUGAUUAGCUUUCUGUGACAAGGUUAUUACGAAUAAAACGUAAAUUCAUACUGUUAGAAAAACGAUUAAUAAAAAUAUUUUUUAAAGAUUUUAAUUUAAUGUUUUUUUUGUGAAUGAAAACUUAUU